GUUACUGAUAGCAUAGUGCAGAUUGAGUACAGUAUGCUUUAAAACUUUACAUUGUUAUUUUAUUAACGUCAAAUUAUAAUGAUUUUCCAAUUGUAACAUGUAUUACAAAUGGCUAGAACAUCUUCACGGGCUGUACAAAAUUGCUAUAUGGACUGGAUGCAGCCCGCAGGCUGCCAGUUUGAGACCACUGCCAUAGAACACAUUCAGUUUUGUAUGUUGACAAGUUCGAAAUACUGGUGGUCCUCAAUUUAUGACAUCGUUCUGUUCCAACAUUUCCAUUGUAAUUCGAGGACUUUUUUAAUUCUUGAUUUGUUUGAUUUCUGUUUUAAUAUUUUCAUAAAUUAGUUUUCUAUUU
rnacentral:lncRNA from 1 species